CAGUAUACCUAUUUCCUCUUUGUAAAGACUUCUGGCAAACAUUGCUGGAUAGUGUUGUGGACAGCCAGCUCUCAGACCUGAGAGAGGAGGACACUGUAGAGAACAUGUCACCUGUACACCAAGUUGUCAAUAGGUGCUUUCCCUACGGUUACAAGGACAAGGAGGGUCUGGAACAACUGGACAACAUGCUGCUGAGGCUGCAGACAGGGCUGAAGGACACAUACACAAGACAGAGCAGAAAAGCGCAGAGUGUUCUUCAAGACGUUGAGGAGUUGGAGGAGAUUGAGAGGAGAGUGGCUCUCAGGCUGCAUGGCUUGGCUGAGUCCUGUACUUCAACUCCUACAUCUGGUUGCUGUAGUUACAGGCCAAGUCUCCAGGGGCCACAGCCACUUCCCAACCACCACCAGUCUUGGAGGUCAGGGUCUGUGCUCCCACAAGCCUGUGACGGGGCAGUGCUGCCAGGCAAGGUGUCUGGGACGGGCACGGUGAUGGUCCAAGUCCAGGCCUCCUCACUGAUUGUCGAGCUGCAGCAGAGAGAGGGCUUCCUGCUGGGGGAACUGGGCCAGAUGAGGCAGGCGAAGCGGGGACAGAUCCAGGAGAAGACAGCCAGCUGGCUGGAGGGGGCUGGAGUUGUCCUCAUCCCCCCUCUCCCUCUCAAGAGAUAAACACUAACAGGAUGCUACUUCAGGGUGUCUGUGUGUGCAAGCGAGUGAACAGGAUGCUGUUCAGCUUGGUGGCUGACAGACUGUCUGUCCUAGAAAUAGAAUGACUAGAAGGUGCAAAGCUGCUCGGCAAUUUGUGGCUAUCUGUUCUAUUAAUUAUAUUUCUACGGCUACUGCUAAUAUAUUGUGAUGGGAUGGACUGCAUGUGAUAUAUUUCAAAUGACAUCUGUUGAUAUCAAGAUAUUUGUGUGUGUUGAUGUAAUCCACUGUGGGAGAGAACAUAAACACCUGUGUGGGCUGGCUGUUAA
rnacentral:lncRNA from 1 species